AGAAUUAUUUGGAAAAAAAUUAUGAUUUUGACAUUGAAUGUAAAUAAACAAAAGUAUUUUAAAAUAACCAUUAAAAAAAAUUCGUGCAGUAUCAUGUAACUCUUUCAUAAAAAAUAGGGUUUUCCUUCUUGCAAACUAAACGCCAUUUCUUCUUGGUGAUCUAAGCCUAAAACCACACAUCACUAACACGAGCAAAAGAAAAAAAAAUAUGAAGCCUGUUUAGUAAAAUGGUGCAGAGUCCUAAAGCUCUAAUUUGAGAGUCUAUGAAUUCUCAUUUGUAUGUGAUGCUUUUAUUCUUUUCCACCAUUGUUGCAUCCUGCUGGAGAACCUGUUUGCAUGCCCCUUCAAUGUCUCACCUGUGGUUUUGAUUCCUUUGGUGAUCUUCUCUUUCCAGUCAUCCUUUUUGCUUUCUUUCUCUCUUAGAACUUUUGCCAAUUUUGAAGGGAAGUGUGGAUCAUCAUCUUCAUCUUCAUCAUCAUCGGCUUCUUCAUUACCAAAAUUUUUCAUGUUCAUCAAAUCUUCCCUUGAAUACAUUUGCAUGUUAGGUGCUCCUAGCAUACCCUCCAUGGAUCUCAAAAUCUUCUCCAUCUCAGCAUCUUUGGCUGGUUUUGGCACAAAUGGUUCUCCUGGAGUUCUAUCCUUGGGAACUGGAGGUGGCUUCUUUCUACAUGAAUUAGUCAAGUCUUUGCACAAAUAGUUUACCAACGAAUCAACAUCAGGCUUGGAACUAAAUAUGUAUUCAGCAAUAUCAGUAUCAGAAUACCCCACAACCUGCAAAACCCCCAAGUGAUUAUACGAUUAUGUUAAAACAAAGAAAGCAUUCAACAUUACAAUCUAGAGAAUUUAUAUGCAGCCAAAUUGACCUGCCAUGGAAACCAACAAUACGAAGUUUAAGUUCCAAAAAUUCACCUGCUCACAAGCCUGCUCUAUUGUCUUGCAUUCUGAAUUGCAUUGACCUUCAGUGUCUUGUUCUACCAGCUAAAAGAGGAGCAAAUAAGUUAGCAAGUCAAUGAGACAUUGAACAACAGAACGAAGUAUCUAAAUCUGUCGAUUGAUUUUCAAUAAAAGUAAUUCUCCUCAAUUUCCACUUAUUUUACUUGAAAGUUAAGAAUUGUGAAUCCAUAUACAAAUAACAACCCCAUGAAUUAUAUUCACAAACUAUUUUGAUCAAAACCCAAUUGAGUUACGCAUAAAUCUCACCUCCAACUUAUCGCCUUGCUCCACUAUAUCAAUCUUCAUAAUCCAAUCAGCUUCUUCCUUCUUCAAAUUACAAACAUUCUCCGCCAACUCAAUGAUUUGAUACUCUGUGAUCUUCUUGGGUGAGAUCUGAGCCUGCUUUUUUGCUACUUGCUGGUACAACUCCUUUGCCAACUUUUCACAUACUUGGCACUUGAUGAAUGGUAUGUCCUCUUUUCUUGCAGCAAAAACAGGUUUCUUGGCGGAAAAAGAGACUGGCACCCAUGUUGAAACUACCAACAAAGUCACUAAAACGAUCAGUAUUUGCUUCAUAUUAGCCAUGGCUCCCUCUUUAUAGCUUCAAAAUCACAGAGUUGCUGCUUGGAUCCUUGAAAUUGUAUCUCUUAUGCACAAGGAAACGUUAUGUAUAAUUAUAUAUGUAAUGGAAGGGGGUGGAAGUCGGUCAAUUUCCCUUGUUUCAGACUUCAGAGUACCGGCUGAUACGUGUUUCGCUGUCUCUGAUUGGUUCCUUAAGGGUUUGUUUGUGGGCCCACAAUUUUUCGACCAAUAGGAUGAAUGAUGACACGUACUUCCAAUUUGUAUCUGCAUUAGCCUAUUAGGAUUAACGAUAAUUUCAUAUUGAAUUAGGAAAUUAAGACGGGAAAACGAUGUCGUCUACGUUUCUGCUAAACCCUACAAGGGCUCUGGCUUGCACUGGAAACGGAUGGCUUAGGGUUUUGAAUUGGCAGGGUUACUCUCUUGAAUCUGGCUGAUCUCAUCGACAUCGACACAAAAUUCCGAAAUGUUCAAGAAUGAGCAUGGCCUCGUCUCCAAAACCCAGUCUUUUAUCGGACAAAACUACGGGCUUGUACUACACCAAGCAAUGCAACAUCUCGCAGAUGAAAUCUACGAAGAAACCUUAAAUUUGUCUCAUUUCGUCAUGUUCUACCAAUUAAUGCAAUAAAAAUCGAUCCUCUUGUAGAACCAUCUGGGUUUACUCUGCAUUGUCCUUCAGGAGCUGGAAAACAACAAAAGAGGAUCUUUCAAAUCAUAUUU
rnacentral:misc_RNA from 1 species